GAUCUUUCCUCAUCCAAUGGUCUAGGAACUCCCUAUCUUCUCAUAUAAUAAUGUCCUAAAAUUUCAGAAACUCUUCAGUUCACCCAAAAAAUCCUUAUACUUCAUCUCUUCCACCAAUGAAUCCUAGAGAAGCCGCCCUUUUUUCCACCAUCAUUCACCGGCGGCGCCGCCUCCUCUUACCCCCAAAUCAACACCAUGCAAUCUCCAAGACCCCCCUCCCCAUUCUGAAUCUCCACCUAGUUUCUUUCAAAUACCCCCAAAAUUUCUCGAAUCUUAAAACAAUGGUUCGAACUCUAGAGUUCAAAGUCAACUUCGGUUAUGCAACAUCAUCCCUUCAUGUUUCUUUGAGUAUUCAGAGUCUGGUUCAUUCUCAGAAUGGUUUUGUUCAUGUGUUUUUGCCAAAGAAUAAGCGAUUUACCCUAUUUUGGGAUUAAAUCAGAAUUGUCCGGUAAUUUUAAGGCUUAAUUGGUAAGUUUCUUCCCUUACUUUGCUUUUGUUCAUCCUUUCUGCCUCAAAUUUCUUAUCCUUUUUUUCUCUUGCAUGUCCUGAGUGAAAUUAGUGUCGAGUCUAAUUUCCCCUAUUAAGGAAAAUUUUGCUCUGUGUGUUUGUGUAUUUAUUCUCAUCUCAUCUCUACAGUUUUUCUUUUCAAAAUCUUAGGCAGUGUCCUCUGUUUUCUUCUUGAUUUUAUUGUUUAGGUUUGAUUGUUAAUAAAUUGGUGAUGUAGAAUUACUUUCAAUUUGUUAUUUUAGCUUAAGAAAAUCAUCACCUGUUAAGUUUAGUUUUUGAGUUUUGAAAUCACGCAAACAUUUCCUUUUUCUGCUUAUCAUUAAUUGGGUUGGGUUUCUGACCCUUUUGGUUUGGGCGCUAGGUUUAUUUGAUUCGUUCAUUUGGACCUAAACAUAUGGGUCAUUGACUCAUGACCCAUACCUAUAGGUUUUGGCAGUGAAAACAGGGUCAUUGAGGGGUAAUUUGGGUAGUUUAGCCCAGGGAAUCUUUGUAUAAUUGAAAUAGAAGCUUCUAGGAAGCUGGGGUGGGGGCAUUUCUGAAUUUUUGAGUUUUGCACUAAGGCUCCCUAAGCAAAAACAAAAAUUCAAAAAGGACUAAAAUAAAAAUCUGACCCCCUCUAUUGUUUCCCUAUUUCCUUGCCUAUAAAGGCACAUUUCCUUGCCUUUCAAGUCAGAGAUUGAAGAGCUGAAAAUACAGAAAAUACAAAGAGCUGAUUUUUACUAUUUCAUUGAACUUUUUUUAGUGGUUUUUGAAUCUUUCAAUUUCCAAAAACUUUAAUUCAUCUAUGGGUGGAACUGGAUUAGAAUUGGGGUUUUGGAAAAUUCUAGUUCAAAUUUGUGGUUGGGUGUACUUUUCUAUUGAAUUCCUGAAGUUGAUUUCCUUAUUUUGACUGUUCAAAUAUGGGUUUAGCUGACUCUGUGGUGCUGCUUCCUGUUAGAUAUCUCAGCUGCAAAUUAUUGCUCCUUACCUAUUUUUCUUUAUCCAUUUUCAGGUACAUUUUUUAACUUUACCCAAUUUGAAAUCCAAUUUGAAGAGGGAAAUGAAAAAUGAAGUGGAGGAAUGACAGUAGUUCUAACUGCAAUAGUUCUAUGUAAUGUCUGUCUUCGUUACUUGACUUUUGGUGUAUGCUAGGUAGUUCUUUUAUUCUAGAUAUUCAAAUUCGUUGAGUUGUAUCAGAUUUGGGACUGUUAUAAUACUUGGAAAUAACUUGUUAACCCAGUUAAAUAAGGACAGAUGCAUUCUUGGAGAAUCUUGUGAUAAAAAUGGUAUUGAGGUUUGCUUGCGGAAUAGCUCACUUAAGUUUUGGUAACAUGUUAAUUGGGUUAGUUUGAUCAUGUAUUUAUAUAUUAUGUUUGGCAGAAUGUAUUCAUUGGAUUUCUAGGGUGUUAGAAUUAUGUUUAAGGGGGGAAAAUUGGUCCAGAGUAUUCUAAUAAUAUAAACAGGUGUUAGUUCAUUUUGUUGCUUAUUGUGAGCAUGCUUAAUUUAUAUUAGUUAUUUCAAUUCAAAAUGUUGAGUUAAUGGGCUAAAGCUUAGAAGCAUUAGUCUAUUUUGGUGUUAAUU
rnacentral:lncRNA from 1 species